rnacentral:rRNA from 1 species
CAGCAGCCGCGGUAAUACGUAGGUGGCAAGCGUUGUCCGGAAUUAUUGGGCGUAAAGGGCUCGCAGGCGGUUUCUUAAGUCUGAUGUGAAAGCCCCCGGCUCAACCGGGGAGGGUCAUUGGAAACUGGGAAACCUGGGUGCAGAAGAGGAGAGUGGAAUUCCACGUGUAGCGGUGAAAUGCGUAGAGAUGUGGAGGAACACCAGUGGCGAAGGCGACUCUCUGGUCUGUAACUGACGCUGAGGAGCGAAAGCGUGGGGAGCGAACAGGAUUAGAUACCCGAGUAGUCCCUGUCUCUUAUAC